rnacentral:rRNA from 1 species
AGUGAACGCUGGCGGUAGGCCUAACACAUGCAAGUCGAACGGCAGCACAGUAAGAGCUUGCUCUUACGGGUGGCGAGUGGCGGACGGGUGAGGAAUACAUCGGAAUCUACUUUUUCGUGGGGGAUAACGUAGGGAAACUUACGCUAAUACCGCAUACGACCUACGGUUGAAAGCAGGGGAUCUUCGGACCUUGCGCGAUUGAAUGAGCCGAUGUCGGAUUAGCUAGUUGGCGGGGUAAAGGCCCACCAAGGCGACGAUCCGUAGCUGGUCUGAGAGGAUGGUCAGCCACACUGGAACUGAGACACGGUCCAGACUCCUACGGGAGGCAGCAGUGGGGAAUAUUGGACAAUGGGCGCAAGCCUGAUCCAGCCAUACCGCGUGGGUGAAGAAGGCCUUCGGGUUGUAAAGCCCUUUUGUUGGGAAAGAAAAGCAGCAGGUUAAUACCCCGCUGUUCUGACGGUACCCAAAGAAUAAGCACCGGCUAACUUCGUG